CUCAGGAGCCAGGGACAAAGGGCAGUCAAAUUCUUUAUUACACACCAUUAGGGAAGGAAGUUUCUGAACAUAGAAAAUGAAAGUUUUAAGGGGCCAUAAAUAGGAGACAGCCACAGCCUCCUACAGAUCCACACACACUCAUGGACCCUCAGUCUUCCAAGGACUCCCUCGCCCUCAUGAUCAUGAUCCCUCUCCUGCUUGCUCUCCCCAUCCAACCUCACACACAGUCUCACAGACUCCACACAAGCAGAAGGCCUCCUGCACACCCAUGCACACCUGCUGCUCCCAGGGACUCUCCUCAUUUGUCCAUCUCUGCUCAUCCUCCAUGGCCUCUUGUGUGUGUGGCAACACUCCUCUUCUCAGCAUAUUGGUUUUCUUGCCAUGAAUUCACCACACUGAAAGGCAGCCUCUAGACCAGCCCUGGAUGGAUUGCACAAACUGGAGACUGCGGAAGACCUCUGCCAAGGAAAGCCUGGCCCUCCCCAGUCCUGUCUGCCCCCUCUGAGCCCCGUCUAAGAUUACAGCCCAUGGCCCUUCCUCUCCUUCCUUUCCCAGAGCAAGAGCCACAGCAGUUAGCCCAUGAGAGUGCCAGAGACAGCCCUGGCCUGAGGAACCAAGGACCAGAAGGGAAGACCAGGCCUCUAGUUCCUCGGCACCAGACCUGACCCAGCC
rnacentral:lncRNA from 1 species